UGGGUGACCUGCCUUCGAGCGGGGGAUAACGUCCCGAAAGGGACGCUAAUACCGCAUGACAUCCUGCCUUUGAAGAGGCGGAGAUCAAAGCUGGGGAUCGCAAGACCUGGCACUUGAAGAGGGGCCCGCGCCUGAUUAGCUAGUUGGUGGGGUAACGGCUCACCAAGGCAACGAUCAGUAUCCGGCCUGAGAGGGCGGACGGACACACUGGGACUGAGACACGGCCCAGACUCCUACGGGAGGCAGCAGUAGGGAAUUGUUCGCAAUGGGCGCAAGCCUGACGACGCAACGCCGCGUGGAGGAUGAAGACCUUCGGGUCGUAAACUCCUUUCGAUCGAGACGAAUGGCUUCCGGCUGAAUAAUCCGGGGGAAUGACGGUACCGAGAGAAGAAGCCCCGGCUAACUCCGUGCCAGCAGCCGCGGUAAUACGGGGGGGGCAAGCGUUGUUCGGAAUUACUGGGCGUAAAGGGCUCGUAGGUGGCCAACUAAGUCAGACGUGAAAUCCCUCGGCUUAACCGGGGAACUGCGUCUGAUACUGGAUGGCUUGAGAUUGGGAGAGGGAUGCGGAAUUCCAGGUGUAGCGGUGAAAUGCGUAGAUAUCUGGAGGAACACCGGUGGCGAAGGCGGCAUCCUGGACCAACACUGACACUGAGGAGCGAAAGCCAGGGGAGCAAACGGGAUUAGAUACCCCGGUAGUCCUGGCCCUAAACGAUGAAUGCUUGGUGUGGCGGGUAUCGAUCCCUGCCGUGCCGAAGCUAACGCAUUAAGCAUUCCGCCUGGGGAGUACGGUCGCAAGGCUGAAACUC
rnacentral:rRNA from 1 species